CCUACGGGUGGCUGCAGUGGGGAAUAUUGGACAAUGGGCGAAAGCCUGAUCCAGUCAUGCCGCGUGUGUGAAGAAGGCCUUCGGGUUGUAAAGCACUUUCAGUGGGGAAGAAAGCCUUGGGGCUAAUACCCUCGAGGAAGGACAUCACCCACAGAAGAAGCACCGGCUAACUCCGUGCCAGCAGCCGCGGUAAUACGGAGGGUGCGAGCAUUAAUCGGAAUUACUGGGCGUAAAGCGCGCGUAGGCGGUCUGAUAAGCCGGUUGUGAAAGCCCCGGGCUCAACCUGGGAACGGCAUCCGGAACUGUCAGGCUAGAGUGCAGGAGAGGAAGGUAGAAUUCCCGGUGUAGCGGUGAAAUGCGUAGAGAUCGGGAGGAAUACCAGUGGCGAAGGCGGCCUUCUGGACUGACACUGACGCUGAGGUGCGAAAGCGUGGGUAGCAAACAGGAUUAGAUACCCCUGUAGUC
rnacentral:rRNA from 1 species